GUUUGGGCGUGGCUGUCACUUCAUCCGGUCAUCCAGAUUCUUAAACCCAGGGUUACAACCUCCUGAUGUUUUGUGGUCAGUUGUGAGAACUACAAUAUUUCUGUGGUCUCCUAAGAGAAUCAUGGCCCCUGGGCAUGGCACUUAUUGGUGGAGGCUCAGGCAAGUUGGAGCCUGUUGGCUGCUUUGUUAAAUGAGGGGCAGAGGUAGUGGGUGAGAAGGAGGAAUUAAAAAAAGAGCAAGAGAUCAUUUCUGAGCUGUGAAGAUAAUGCAACAAGGAGCCAGAGUCUAUAAAAACAUCACCUUUCAGUCUCUGAAGACAUGAUGCUUGAUG